rnacentral:rRNA from 1 species
CACGUAGGGCGCAAGCGUUGUCCGGAAUUAUUGGGCGUAAAGAGCUCGUAGGCGGUCUGUUGCGUCCGCUGUGAAAACUCCGGGGCUUAACCCCGAGCCUGCAGUGGAUACGGGCAGACUAGAGGUAGGUAGGGGAGAAUGGAAUUCCCGGGUGUAGCGGUGAAAUGCGCAGAUAUCGGGAGGAACACCGGUGGCGAAGGCGGUUCUCU